GUGGCAAGAUUUGAUGAUGGAGCAUGAGUUGAUGAUGGAGCGAGAGGAUUGGCCGAUGUCUGUUGUCGGGUUGUGUGGUUGAUCUGUGCCUCUAUGAGAUUGAAGUGAAGCGCGUCUGUGCCAUGUUAGAAGAAGGUGCACCUCCUAACAUACUUCCUCCCUGCAAAAGAUACAACCAACACAACAUAUCGUAUACGAGUAUCAAGAAGAAUAUUUAUCUUACAGCGCGCCCAGUCAGGGGGAGGCGCGCUUCGAUCUAUUGUGUCAGCCGCGGGACUUGCUUCCUU
rnacentral:lncRNA from 1 species